CCAGGACUGGAUUUGUAGUGAAUGGGCUUUUAUAUGUAUUUCUACAGUGCUAAAUGAAUAUGAAAAGUUGACCAGUUUCACUUGUAAAUAUAUCGUUUUCUACCCUGUGAAAAUAGAAAAGGGAACAAUCAAGGGAAGGCAAUUACCGUUUUCUAAAAUAAAUCUACUCUUUAAUAGAAAUGUCUUUGCACUAGAUACAAUCUUCUAUCUAAAUCAAAUGCUUACAUCUCACCUGUCUUGCAAUAUCAAAUGUAUAUCUAGUUAUAGCAAUCUAGAAGAAAAUACAGCAAUACAUUAUAUUUACUUGACAAGUAAAAUCAUUACGUAGAAAAUGCGAGUUAAUUUUUGUGCUGCAAUGUAACCACAAAACCAGCUAAUCUGCCCACCAAAUGAAAAUGAACGCUGUUGUAAUUGUUUUUUUAUCAUCUACAAUAUGGAACUGAUACUCAAUAUUUAAUUAGGCAGGACAACAUUGAAAACACAAGUAUAAAUAACCACACUGGUUUAGUCAAACUUUGGUAAUCUAGCUGCUAUGGACUAUGAUUUCCACAAUUGUUAGUCAACAUCCCAGUUGUCCUAAUUAGGGCUUUUCCAUAAAGUGAUUAUUGUCGGGAAUUUAAUAUGAAUUUCAAAUUUAAGGCAAAAAGAGCAGACCUGGAAAAGUUCUCAAAAUCAGCUAAGCUUCUUGAUUGACUACUUAGGUUUUAAAUUUGAAAUUCACUUGAAUUUGAAUAGGCUUGCAUAUAACUUAUAAUACAGAGUAGUUGUCCUGCCAGUAAUUUUCUAUACUUGCUACAAUCUGCCUUAUUCUCCAAUCAGAGAAACAUGAAGCAAAAAAAAGUGUUUUUAGGAAAUCCUGCACUCAGUUCACUUAAAAGAACAUUCCAAGUACCAUAACCAUUACAAAUCAAAGGUAGUGAUUAUGAUGUCAUGGAGCCUGACACUCUACCAGAGUAAUCUAUCAAACCAUUUUAGGACAGUUUGACAACUUACCUAGGUCCUCCAGGUGCGAUAUUGCAAAAUGUCUCCACUGAGCUAAAAUGGUUGACGCAGGACCACGCUCUUUGGUUGAGUGUGCUCAGCUGAUAUUCUCAACCAAAGUCUGCAUUGCUCUGCUCGGCUCAGUGGAGCUGACUAAAUGUUCCUGCAAGGAGAAUCUGGAAGCAGAUGGAAAGACUAAACAAUAUUUUGCAUCGUUCACUAUUUUCCCCGGUGUAUUUGCCAUGCAAUGUUUCAUAUCUAGCACUGACUGUAUUGUUCUAACAAUGCAUGGUUUACUGAAUCAUUCCAUUAUGGGUAGAGAUCUUGGUAACUAUUUUGGGUAUAAUAGUAACUAUAGAAUUAGAGAGCAUGGUUGUAGAAAACUAUAUGUAAAAUUGUGGUGCUUGGUGCUAGUGUCCUUCGCCCAUUUCUGAUGUGCCUUACACUUUUUGGCAUAUAAAUACGGUUUAUACAUUCACAAAGAUGCUCAUUUUUAGUUUGUGACACAUUAAUAAUACAAAGUCAGACUUUUCUAUUCCCACUAUCUUUGAGGGGUGAGCACAUAUAAUUUUUUUUCAAGAGACAAUCAAAGCACCAAAGCCACUGCAUCUUAUUAAAGUGGUUUUGGUGCAUUUUUUCCUUUUUGCUGAAAAUUAAAACAUCAAAAAAGAACAAUGUUUGCAUUUGGUGGCAAACAUGUCUUUAGAAACCAUCAACCAGACAGCUUCCUCCUUAAAGAUCCUUCAUUUGUCUAUGGUCUUCACAUUUGGUGUCAUCCUGGACAGCGUAAUGACACCAAACAUAGCAUUAGGACAUUGCAGAAAGCGUGACUGCAUGUCCUAAAUGAACGGCGAGCUGAGCUGUCAUUCAGCUUGUUCCCCACGAGUGCCCACACCAUGCAUGGUUUAGCAUUAACUGCUUCAAUAUGAGAAGCACCGGAUUAGUUGAAAGUCAUUAAGCUUCAUGACUUCAAAGUAGGUGAUACAACUGCAGUGAGGAUUCAGUCUUGGCAUUGGAAUAAAGGAACAUUGAAUUGCAUUUUAAUAUUUUUUUUAAAUACUGGGGUGGAGGGGCUAAAUCUAAAAAUCUAGACACAGUAGGCUUGAAUAAAUGGAUUUUUUCAACACAGUUAUUCUUUUGUACUUGUGUUGUCUACUCUUCGUAUUUUACCUUUGAUAUUCCAUGUUACAAAUCUGAGCUCACAAAAGAUGUUUUGAGUAACUUAACUCUUUGUUUUCGUAAACUUAGCUCGUUAUUAACUUUACAAUAGCUGCCUUUUAAUAUGUGCAAAACCUUCUUCUUGAUAUUUAGAAGUGUUAUCAAAUUAGGUUUAGUUGUAAACAUCUUACGUUUAGUACGUUUAAGAUCCUUUUACAAACUUGUCAAUGUAAAAUCUGAAGUUUAGAAGAAGUCAAGUGUCUACAUUAAUUAUUUAAUGUAACUGAAUAUGAUCUUGGAUGUGAUCGUUAAGUGAGAUAGGCAGCAUGGCAUGUACUUAUGGUACUCUAAUAUGGGAUAUUAGGUAUUACCCAAUGGUGGAUAUCAACAGGCACCAUUUGUUUACAAGCAGUGUAUAUUACAUAUUAAGCAUCUUGUAUUAUAUCAAUAUGAAGUGCACUUUUAAGCAUUCAGCAGGUAAAAGACACAGGCACAAAGCCACUAACCCUGAGGUAGAUGCUUUAAAGUGUCCAUAACUAUAUUUUAAAGGAAAAUUUUAAACUUUCUAACAAUUAUUAUACGUUCUAUGGAUGACACAAUGGAUUCCCGUCUCCAGCACUAAAGCCAUUGUUGAAAUGCAGCUCUUAAAUCCUUGACAAGGCUCGCUAAUUAUUAGAGGAAUUGUAGCUUCACAACAUGCUGAUGAUCACAAGUCACACAGCCUUAUUUUACAGUUUUCCCUGACCAUCUCUUUGCAAGCAAAGAAAAGAAGACAUAACAUUUAUAUCAUAAGUUUAAUCUCUAAAUUCUAAGACUGAAAUCAGAAAUUGAGAG